CCUAUUGAAUGAGUCAUGGGUAGCUUGCCAGGUUUUGCCAUGCGAUAUUAUAUAUAAAUAAGGCGAAAUGAAGUAAAUAAUGGAAGAUCCCAACAUCUGGCUCCUCCUUAUUAGGCAGAUCAAUAACAUUGCAACCUUACCUCCAUUUCUGCAGCUGUUGCCAGAUUCUGAGAGCUGCCUACAAAGGGGUCCCAUAGUAAGACUAGGCAGGACCCAUCUGAGUACAACCUUGGAUCUGAUG